rnacentral:rRNA from 1 species
GACGAACGCUGGCGGCGUGCCUAAUACAUGCAAGUAGAACGCUGAAGGAGGAGCUUGCUCUUCUGGAUGAGUUGCGAACGGGUGAGUAACGCGUAGGUAACCUGCCUGGUAGCGGGGGAUAACUAUUGGAAACGAUAGCUAAUACCGCAUAAGAGUAGAUGUUGCAUGACAUUUACUUAAAAGGUGCAAUUGCAUCACUACCAGAUGGACCUGCGUUGUAUUAGCUAGUUGGUGGGGUAACGGCUUACCAAGGCGACGAUACAUAGCCGACCUGGGAGGGUGAUCGGCCACACUGGGACUGAGACACGGCCCAGACUCCUACGGGAGGCAGCAGUAGGGAAUCUUCGGCAAUGGACGGAAGUCUGACCGAGCAACGCCGCGUGAGUGAAGAAGGUUUUCGGAUCGUAAAGCUCUGUUGUAAGAGAAGAACGAGUGUGAGAGUGGAAAGUUCACACUGUGACGGUAUCUUACCAGAAAGGGACGGCUAACUACGUG